rnacentral:rRNA from 1 species
GGAAACGAUAGCUAAUACCCGCAUAAUAUUAAUUAUUGCAUGAUAAUUGAUUGAAAGAUGCAAGCGCAUCACUAGUAGAUGGACCUGCGUUGUAUUAGCUAGUUGGUAAGGUAAGAGCUUACCAAGGCGACGAUACAUAGCCGACCUGAGAGGGUGAUCGGCCACACUGGGACUGAGACACGGCCCAGACUCCUACGGGAGGCAGCAGUAGGGAAUCUUCGGCAAUGGACGAAAGUCUGACCGAGCAACGCCGCGUGAGUGAAGAAGGUUUUCGGAUCGUAAAGCUCUGUUGUAAGUCAAGAACGUGUGUGAGAGUGGAA